rnacentral:rRNA from 1 species
GUCCUAGCCUUACUAUCAUCUGUUUCUCAUUUUAUACAUGCAAGUCUCAGCACCCCAGUGAGAACGCCCUUUUAACCUACACCAGGAGAAGGAGCUGGCAUCAGGCACUAUCCCUGCCCAUAACACCUAGUCUCACCACACCCCCAAGGGUAAUCAGCAGUGAUAAAUCUUAAAUAUAAGCGACAGCUUGAUUUAGUUAGAGAAAAGAGGGCCGGCUAACCCGGUGCCAGCCGCCGCGGCUACACCGUGGGGCCCGAGCUGAUAGUCACCGGCGUUAAGCGUGAUUAAAGCCCUCAACAAUUAGGGUUAAAUUAAUAUUUAGUAGUGAUAAGCUUGUUAUUAAGAAAACCAUAAACGAAAGUUACCCUAAUUACACUUGAAUCCACGACAACUGGGAAAACAAACUGGGAUUAGAUAC